GACGAACGCUGGCGGCGUGCCUAAUACAUGCAAGUAGAACGCUGAAGGAGGAGCUUGCUUCUCCGGAUGAGUUGCGAACGGGUGAGUAACGCGUAGGUAACCUGCCUGGUAGCGGGGGAUAACUAUUGGAAACGAUAGCUAAUACCGCAUAAGAGUAGAUGUCGCAUGACAUUUGCUUAAAAGGUGCAACUGCACCACUACCAGAUGGACCUGCGUUGUAUUAGCUAGUUGGUGAGGUAACGGCUCACCAAGGCAACGAUACAUAGCCGACCUGAGAGGGUGAUCGGCCACACUGGGACUGAGACACGGCCCAGACUCCUACGGGAGGCAGCAGUAGGGAAUCUUCGGCAAUGGACGGAAGUCUGACCGAGCAACGCCGCGUGAGUGAAGAAGGUUUUCGGAUCGUAAAGCUCUGUUGUAAGAGAAGAACGAGUGUGAGAGUGGAAAGUUCACACUGUGACGUUAUCUUACCAGAAAGGGACGGCUAACUACGUG
rnacentral:rRNA from 1 species